rnacentral:rRNA from 1 species
UUCUAUGGGGCGUAGGCCUCCCAAAAGGUAACGGAGGUGUGCAAAGGUUUCCUCUGGCCAGACGGACAUUGGUCCUCGAGUGCAAAGGCAGAAGGGAGCUUGACUGCAAGACUCACCCGUCGAGCAGAGACGAAAGUCGGCCUUAGUGAUCCGAUGGUGCCGAGUGGAAGGGCCGUCG